rnacentral:rRNA from 1 species
AUACGUAGGGGGCGAGCGCUGUCCGGAAUAAUGGGGCGAGAAAGACGCGUAAGCGUCCCGGUAGGUCUGGAGAGAAGGUCCUGUUUUGAAGAUGGGGAUUGCUUUGGAUACUGUCGGGCUUGUGGGCAGGAGAGGUAAGUGGAAUUCCCAGUGUAGCGGUGAAAUGCGUAGAGAUUGGGAGGAACACCAGUGGCGAAGGCGACUUACUGGACUGUAACUGACGCUGAGGCGCGAAAGUGUGGGGAGCAAACAGGAUUAGAUACCCUGGUAGUCCACACUGUAAACGAUGAAUGCUAGGUGUAGGGGGUAUCGACCCCUUCUGUGCCGCAGUCAACACAAUAAGCAUUCCGCCUGGGGAGUACGGCCGCAAGGUUGAAACUCAAAGGAAUUGACGGGG